rnacentral:lncRNA from 1 species
UCAGGGAUUCAGUAAUACAGGUAAACAAUAGCUUUUGGGGAAAGGACGCUAAGACGUCAAUUUCAAACUUAUUAUAUCAUCAUAAUGUAAUUUCUUUUGAAACAUCUAUUACAAUCAACAAUGUAACUUUUUAAAUUAUAUUUAUGAUGGUUGUGUUUGCUUUCUUUACUAUUUACUCAACUGUUCUGAUACUACAUGAAGUCAUCCGCCUUCGAACAAUUCCGCCGUUCUGGUUUAGAGGUUUGACAAAGGCCCUGUUUAAUAAGUCAUCCGCCUUCGAACAAUUCCGCCGUUCUGGUUUAGAGGUUUGACAAAGGCCCUGUUUAAUAAGUCAUCCGCCUUCGAACGAUUCCGCCGUUCUGGUUUGGGGGUUUGACAAAGGCCUCGUUUAAUAGUUGUUGACUGAGAAAGUGCUGAUUGGGAAAGGUCUAUCUAGGUAAGAAAUCCUGAACGAGUAACAAAUCAUGUUGUUUGAUUGUACAUCUGACCGGAUGUGCGGAAUGAUGACAAAUGACCAUUUUACCCUCGUUCUAAACCAACAUCCUAAAACAUUCAUAUUUAAAGUAAUUUAUCAUAACUUUUAUCGUGAUCAAGAACAAUUUUAAACAUAAAACAAUUUUCUACUAAUGAAAUCAACAUCCUAAAUAAUAAUAGCACAAUUAGGUACCCGUUUGGUAGAUGAACUGGGUGGAACAGAACUAGAUUGGACUGAACUGAAUAGAACUAGACUGGACAUGACAAAUAAUUUGUAUAGAGUUUGGUAAGACUGGAACAGAACAGAACAAGUUGUCUGAAACUGUUUGGUAAAAAUAGAACCGGACAGAACAAGAUGUAAAAAUGACCAUAUUACCCUUUUACAAAAAAUGUUAAUAAUAACUCUAUUUGUCAUACAUAACUUCAAAAUUAACAUUUUUAUUAAAAAGUUAUUUAAAAUUUUCAUAUUAACACAAGUUCUAAUAACAAAUAAUCAAAAUUGCUUCAAAAUAAUAAAGUUCUAAACCCAAAUGGUUUCCGAAAUCCGUCAUUUUAAACAUAAAAUAACAAUCUUCAAUUGUCUUCUUCAUAAUCUUCGCAACAAAAUGGUUUAGUAGUUACAUCCAAGCUAUUUCACCUCAGUAACAAAUACAUGUUUUUUUUUGUAAAAUUUAAACAGACCCGCAUGACUUCUGAAGAAGACAACUCCAUGGUCUUCAACUCUCCAUAUCUACGGAGUUAAAAAAACAAGUAAAAAGGAGCAUUCUAUUGAUUUUAAAGAAAGACGUUUGAGGGACGAAUAUGGAAGAUUUUUUUUACCGGUAUGGGAAAAAAAUAAUAUUAAAAUAAAUGAAAUGCUUGCAAGAGGUUGGAGAGAUACAAAAGCUAAUAAAAACAAAAGAAAACUACACAAAACAAACAAUGUACUUAACCUCAAUAACAAUAUGUUUUCACCACCACCAUCCAAGAGCAACUAAACAAUUAAAUGAAAUCUUCCAACUAACAGGUAAAAAAACUCAAGGGCAAGUAUAAAAGUUCAGGGGCAAUUUCGUCCGAAAUGAAGUAUCUACAACUUGAACCGGGCAAAAUAACAUAAACUUGACAAGUACUAAACUAGGCAGCAAAAGUUUGCUUAUUUUAGCCUCCCAAGAACCAAUAAUGAUGUUUAUCAUAAACUGUAGAGGAACAAAAGCUUAGGGACAAUUUGGUUAAAAAAAUAGAACACAUUAUCAACAUUAAAAAAAAAUGUUUAGCCUCCUAAAGUUGAUACUACCUUUAAUUGAUCGAAAGCAUGACCAAUAACAUCUUAAAUCAUAUUCUAACAUGUUCCUUUUAAUUUAAAACCAGCAAAAGAAAACAAAAUACACAAGGUAAUUGACUUUUUUUGGGCAAGAUCGAUCAAGAGGGCUAAAGACAUAGCAUAAUCGACCUUUAUCUUCCCUCUAUAUUGUUAAAAACUUUUGAAAAUUGCUGGCAAGAGUUUAAUAAACAUACAUUACAAGCUACCUAUUAAUUCUACAAAAAUAUUGCAAAUUAGUAGUGAUUAUCGAUAACUUCAAGCCAUUCAAAAUUAUAAACAUAUGAAUUUACAAAGCAACAAAUGUGGUUUAAGGCAUAAAUCGAAAUCAAAACAUAUAAAUUAAGAUAUCAUUUAGCUAAUUGAAGAGAUGCAUAUUCUGAAGUUUAAUCAUACCUGGUGAUGAUAAGAAUCAGACGACAUUUAUAAGAAUUCAAUGGCUGGAGAAGUCAUAUGGCAUCAAAUCGAGGAUGACGAAUCGAUAAUCAGUUUGUGUUUACAAUGGAUUGAGAUGAUUAUACGAAAUAGUUCAUUAGGUUUAACGAUCUGCAUUAGAAGAAGAACAAGGAAAAAUCAAAAUAAACAAGAAAUCAGAAGAACAACAACAAAAAAUCUGAACACAAACAGCAAAAAUCCGAACAGGAAAGGUCUGUUGAAAAAUCAGAACACAAACAUCAAGAAAUCGGAAGAGAAACAACUAAAAAAAGGCAACCGAGAAGAGGGUAGUCGUACCUGAUGAGAAGAUAUCUUCGAUAGGUACGGGUGCAGUGGCUAAAAUCGUCGAUCGAUAAGGAGAAAAGGUUCUGAUCAUCGACCGUUGAAGAGAGAAGAUCCAUAUGGAGACGCUGAAACUUGAACGCAUGGCAAGGAAAGGCAAGGGCAUUUUGGGGAACUUUCUCAGUAGAUAUCUCAUAUCUUUCCCAUCCAGAUCUAACUUACCAAGUCAGACAUGCAAAAUCUGUUUCCCAAACAAGAAUAGCUGACCGAGUCAGCAAAAAACAUCUGACCGGGCCGGAUCAGACGUAUAUC